rnacentral:rRNA from 1 species
GAAGAGAUAACCGCUGAAAGCAUCUAAGCGGGAAACUCGCCUUAAGAUGAGAUAUCCCCGGGGACUUGAUCCCCUUGAAGGGUCGUUCGAGACCAGGACGUUGAUAGGUCAGGUGUGUAAGCGCAGUAAUGCGUUCAGCUAACUGAUACUAAUUGCCCGUAAGGCUUGAUCCUAUAACA